rnacentral:rRNA from 1 species
UACGAAGGGGGCUAGCGUUGUUCGGAUUUACUGGGCGUAAAGCGCACGUAGGCGGGUUGUUAAGUCAGGGGUGAAAUCCUGGAGCUCAACUCCAGAACUGCCUUUGAUACUGGCAACCUAGAGGCUGGAAGAGGUUAGUGGAAUUCCCAGUGUAGAGGUGAAAUUCGUAGAUAUUGGGAAGAACACCAGUGGCGAAGGCGGCUAACUGGUCCAGAUCUGACGCUGAGGCGCGAAAGCGUGGGGAGCGAACAGG